UGAGUUUUCGUGCACUGCGAGAAGUCUGGCCGAUGAAGAUGAUGAUGGGGAAGAUCUGGAAACGGUGCAACCGGCGCACACAGUCCAGGCCCAACGGCAGCACGCAGAAACACGAGACAUCUUGAAAACUUCACCUGUACUUUUCCGUAUCAGGGUGUAGCACCGGCCCUGCUCGCUCUCCUCCAGGAUCUCGGACCUCUGGAGCCGGGCGGCGUGCUCGCUGGACAUCAGCACUUCUGGGGACCAACAGCAGGCAGGAAUCAGGAAUGUGCUGAUUCUCUUCAAUAAAACCUUUUUUUUUCCUUA